rnacentral:rRNA from 1 species
UGGGGAAUAUUGCACAAUGGGCGCAAGCCUGAUGCAGCCAUGCCGCGUGUGUGAAGAAGGCCUUCGGGUUGUAAAGCACUUUCAGCGAGGAGGAAGGGUUUAGUGUUAAUAGCACUGUUCAUUGACGUUACUCGCAGAAGAAGCACCGGCUAACUCCGUGCCAGCAGCCGCGGUAAUACGGAGGGUGCAAGCGUUAAUCGGAAUUACUGGGCGUAAAGCGCACGCAGGCGGUUUGUUAAGUCAGAUGUGAAAUCCCCGCGCUUAACGUGGGAACUGCAUUUGAAACUGGCAAGCUAGAGUCUUGUAGAGGGGGGUAGAAUUCCAGGUGUAGCGGUGAAAUGCGUAGAGAUCUGGAGGAAUACCGGUGGCGAAGGCGGCCCCCUGGACAAAAGACUGACGCUCAGGUGCGAAAGCGUGGGGAGCAAAACAGGAUUAGAUACCCUGGUAGUCCACGCUGUAAAACGAUGUCGACUUGGAGGUUGUGCCCUUGAGGCGUGGCUUCCGGAGCUAACGCGUUAAGUCGACCGCCUGGGGAGUACGGCCGCAAGGUUAAAAACUCAAAAGUGAAUUGAC